rnacentral:miRNA from 1 species
UGUAUUAGUUUGUUGCAAAAGUCAUUGUGUUUUUUUGCCAUUGAAAGUAAUGGCAAAACUUGCAAUUACUUUUGCACCAAUCUAAUAAA